UACGUAGGGAGCAAGCGUUGUCCGGAAUCAUUGGGCGUAAAGCGCGCGUAGGCGGCCCGAUAAGUCCGCUGUAAAAGUCAACGACUCAACUGUUGAAAGCCGGUGGAUACUGUCGGGCUAGAGUACGGAAGAGGCAAGUGGAAUUCCUGGUGUAGCGGUGGAAUGCGCAGAUAUCAGGAGGAACACCCAUAGCGAAGGCAGCUUGCUGGGACGUUACUGACGCUAAGGCGCGAAAGCGUGGGGAGCGAACAGG
rnacentral:rRNA from 1 species